AGUUGCCGGCCAGUUGGACUUGAGCGGUCGCCAUGCACAGAAGAUCCUCAGUCAUAGUUAACAAAAUGGAAAAAAAUUAGCUGUGUUUUUAAGAUUCCAGUGGUGGCCAUCAACUGCUCAGGAAAGCAGCCCAGAAUCACUUCACAACAGGUUUCCAAAGGAUCAUCAUUCAUCAGCACAGAAGGGUGGGAAAGAGAAGGCUGUUCAAAUUCUGAAAAGCCAGAGCUGCAAAGGAGGUCAAAGAUGCAGUGCAGUUGGCCCACUCAGUAGAGUUUCACUAGUGGUUCUGAUGUGGACUGAAGAUUACACGCUGGAUUGAAGUGGCCGGUCUGGAGCAGCUGUAGUUCAUCAUUCUUGCUGAUUGUGGACGAGUAAGAGCCCUUGUUGGCCCCGAUCGGCGAUCGCUGGCCAAAGCCCACCACCAGUUUGGUGAUAGGCGUUGGCUGUGAUAUCUAGUGUCGCCUAUGUGUGAAAAGGACAAGUUGAUAACAAAACCUGUUGCGCCAUGUUAUUAACCCGCGCCCGGGUGGCCCUCAGCCAACUGGUGGGGGGGGGGGGGGGGGGGAGGUGUAUUCGGCCACACCAGGUUAUCUUGGAAUGUAGCAAAGCUGGAAAGACGCAGUAAAAUCAAUCUAUAGACCGCUAUUUUUCUUCGGAAUCAUACAGGUCAUUUUUGAUCAGGUCAUCGCUGAGGUCACUGGAGGUCUCCAAAAGUAAAAUGAUGACGAAUUUUGGCCCCCGAUUUUGACAACUUCACAAAUUGGUUCAUAAUUCGGGAACCAAAGAAGCUACAGCGCCGCGGAAAAGGGAAUUCGAUAGCUCUUUCGAAAAUCUUUCAGGUUCUCAGAUUUGAGCUAAGGUCAACUAGGGUUAAGCCUCCAAAGGGCAAAAACUGAACAAUCGGCUUGCUUCGGAAGUCGUCUUUUCUUUAAAAAAUUUUUAAACUGAUACCAACCUUUUAUUACGUUGAUUUUACCGGCACUGCGUUUCUCUCGUCUUCUUGGCCUAACAAGGUCAGCUUAAUAAAUUUGACCUCAGGUCAAUGUCGCAGAAAAUGCCAUUUUGCAUGUCAUUGAUUCGUUACAUUGAAAUUGAGAUUAACAUCAGUAGCGGCGGAACACCUUCAAUUAAGGGGGCAUUGCCGACUUUGGUCUCAUUCUUUCCAUGCAACGGCCAUAGGGCUAAUGUUAAAAUGCCAAAAUCAAAGGGGGCACGGUGCCUCGGUGCCCUCGGCCUGUUCCGCCGCCUAUGAUUAUGAUGCUUUUAGCGCUCUGGCCACGUUCCAUCUAAAAUCGAUGUACAAAAAUAAACUGUUGGGAGGCGUUACAUGACCUGAGAUGACCUCAGGAGCAUACGAUAGAUCCCGAUGUUUGAGUGCUUUUGUUUCAAAAGCAGAACAUUUCGAUUUCGAGUUCCUCAUACUGACUGAAACUGGAGACGUCGCAAAGUUGACCUGACCCUAGGUCACCACCGAUAUCAAAAUUAAAGAUAUUCAAGAUGUUGGUACUGAUUCUCUCAUGCAAUAGCUCGAGUUUCAAACUUCUACUUCAUGGUGACCUGACCUGACCUUAGGUGAUAUGGGGUUACUUUUUUCACAAUUGAUGCGAAUCGAUGCAUUAUACAUAAGCUAUACUAAGUUUCGUGUCGUUUUAUCUAUGCAAGCACAAAAUUGUCAGGUGUGGCCAAAAACGCCUCCACGGCCCACCCACCUGGGGAACGUUAAAGCAGUGAUGUAUUUUUUUCGGUGUAUUCCACGAUGCAUCGAUCGGUGUACUUGAUAAUGCAUUAUUUAUUGCUGCGUGUGUACGCUUUUCCUCUGUUCAGUGUGAUCUGUGAUAGGAAAACUACCGAUAUAUCUCCACGUGCAUGACUGAAAGAGCUGGCGUGAUCUAUAAUAUUGGGUGUCUGUUUUUGCUUGGCAUUUUAUAAAUAAUGAGU